rnacentral:snRNA from 1 species
AUCGCUUCUCGGCCUUUUGGCUAAGAUCAUGUGUAGUAUCUGUUCUUAUCAGUUGAAUGACACACUGGACCAGAUGGACUUAACAGAUAUAUUCAGAACAUUUCAUCCUAAAGCAGACCAAUACACAUU